UUCAAUUUCCCACUAAGAAGCUAGAUGGUCUUUAAUACCUUGAUGAAAAAAAUAAAGUUCGAAGCUUUACAAGGUUUAUCAACUACUCAUACAUACCAUUCUUAUUUUUGUAUAAGAUGACUUCUCAGUGAUCUAUAUCUACUCAGCAAAUUUCAAAUAUUUAUAGAUUUGGAGAACCUAUUAGGGCUUUCAUGAGCCAUGAACCAACUUCGGUGGAAGAGGCUUCUUCAAGGACAGAACUAAAACUAUAGAGUUAGUAUCGGUAUGGUGCAGUGCUUCUUAUAACUGAUAAGGCGUUAUUGACUAAACACAUAGGUUUCUUCUUUAUUAAUUUUCACAUGUGCUUAGAUACCAAGUCACAAAAGUUAUAAGCAACAACUUGCUCCUCUGCUUUAGCCACUUUCUUAAUAUCAACAAGUAGACACACUUAAGCAGCAUUAGCCUCAGUUUCCAUUUAAACAUAAAGCUCGCCAUAUUACCAUUCAUAAUUUUCAUUUAAAUCAUACAUGGAUCUUUUACAAGUUAGUUUUUGAAGCUUCCGUAAUAAGCCUCCUACACCAUUAGAUGUCAUAUACCAAAUUCCACAGCAUGACUUAAGGUGCUUGAUUUGUAAUUCUUAGCUAUCUAUUUGGUUAUUUUUGCUUUUAUCACUUGUUCAUUUAUGUAUAUUAACUAAUAAAUCAAGUACCAUAUUCUUUCUAGGACAUGUAUCUCUUGAAAUAUAUGCUCCUGAAGUCAAGCGUUCAGAAGAAGUCAAGCAUUCUUUUUGAACAUUUCUAUGCUCGAGAUCAUCUUUAACAUACUGAUUUUUUAAUUCCAAUGAAACCUGAAGGUUUUGCCAGGUAAUAUGAAAGUGGAAUGCCUAAAAAGUACUCUUCGUGUUACAUUAGAGAUUUGGUGUUACAGUACAUAAAGUAACAAAUUGUGCCCAAAUGUUUAUCUGGUUAUAGCUCAUAAACUAUUGGUUUUGGAAUCUGGUUGUUCCUGUAUUGCUAUUAUUUUAACUUAUGACUGGAAUACAGGUUCAUUCUAGGAACAUCAUUGUUGGUGUUAUUAUCUUUUGAUGCCGUGAAAUAAGAUUUCCAAGUAGCAACAUAUUGAAUUAGCAUAUGCUACCUUUUUCUGUUCUUUCUUGUUGCGCUUCACCUAAAGGUUGAUAUAAUAUACUUGGAAUUUACUUUAAGUUUGUAUUUUAUUUAAAUAUUUGUGUGAAAGUAUAAGUGGUGGAUUGAUAUACCAUAUUAGCAUAUUUGGUAGACUAUUUGGUUAGGUCAUAACUGUUCUACUUUUACUUCAGUACAUGAAAUGCACAAGGAUUAUAUGUUUCAUGUAUAUUUAUAUAAAUACACUCACAUAUAUGCAAUCUUUUAACAUAUAUGAAGUGUGUCUUAUAAACAUGCUUCUAUGAUGAUUGCUUUCGAGUUCUAUUUUUCUUUGUUUGCAGAUUAAAACUAGCGAGCGGAACUCAGAACAAAAUUUACUUACCAUGGUUGCAGAAGACUUAAAGCUCCUCUCCUCCUCUAUCAGUUCAAAUGGUAAUGGCUAUUGACUAUUAUAUUGGUACCUCUUUUUGUUCAAUCUCUCAGCAUAAUAUUUUCUAUAUAUUUAUGUUUAUUAGUAAGAUGGUACGACCUAAAUCAGUCUAAGUAAUUCCUUGAAACAGUAGUGUUGGUUGUGCUUAUUUUGUGUUUAUUUUAUUUAUUUUAUUUUAUUAGGUUGUAGUCAUGCACAUGCUUCAAUUGAUAACAAUAUGCCAGUGGAAAGUGUUACUUUAUGCUAUAUGUGUCUUUUGUUUUUUAUACAAACUAUUAUUUAAUUGUUAUGCUUGAUUUAAGCAAAUUAUUCCAAUCACAACCUUGAUUUGUUCUGAAUUGUGCAUGCUCUAUAUCUUGGCAGUCACAAAAAUCUAUUUUAUUCAAGGGGGUAUAUUUUAUUUCUAAGAUGCCCUUUUACUGAUGGAUGAUUGGUGCAUUUCUUCUUUGUCAGUAUUUCUUAAGGUAAUGUACUUUAAAUUAAAAUGUUGAUGAAGAAGUUACUUACUUUUACAGGAGGCUUCUGGUAUUCUUGUCAUACCGCAUAUUCAUAGACUUCCUGAAGUUACGACAUUCUUAUUCUACUCAACCAGUUCAAGCAAGUAAAGAUGCUUAUUAAGACCAAGUAACUAUCAAAGCAUAUAAUUUGGACAAAGAUGUAUGAAGGACUUGCAUCAUCGAUUUAUCUGGUAUUAUCUAUGGUAACUUAGUCAUGCAGUUAUAGUAGCUUCCUCCUAGCAGAAGAUAUUUCAAAAAUCAAGUCAUGAACAAAUAGUGACUUUGAUCUAUCAUUUUGUAUGGUUUACCUUCGUGAAUUUAAUUUCAUUAGGGAGUGAGAUUCAUUAUUUCUGAAUCCACAGAUUUUGAAUAUGCAUGCUCUGUAUAGUAGGUGAUCUUUAAUAUUUGUCACUAUUUACUAAGAAUGGAACUGUACUUCUGUAUUAGUGAAAGUAUAGUUGUUCUAGAGUAUGUAU
rnacentral:lncRNA from 1 species